AAAAACUAGUUAAAUUUAUAACAAAAGAAUGUCAUUCUUUAAUUAUCUUAGAUGUUUUUUAA
rnacentral:tRNA from 1 species